rnacentral:rRNA from 1 species
AUCAACUUUCGAUGGUAGGAUAGAGGCCUACCAUGGUGGUAACGGGUAACGGGGUGUUAGGGCACGACACCGGAGAGGGAGCCUGAGAAACGGCUACCACAUCCAAGGAUGGCAGCAGGCGCGCAAAUUACCCAAUCCCGACACGGGGAGGUAGUGACAAUAAAUAACAAUACGGGGUCCUUUCGGGUUUCGUAAUUGGAAUGAGUACAAUUUAAAUCUCUUAACGAGGAACAAUUGGAGGGCAAGUCUGGUGCCAGCAGCCGCGGUAAUUCCAGCUCCAAUAGCGUAUAUUAAAGUUGUUGCAGUUAAAAAGCUCGUAGUUGAAUUUCGGGAUCAGUACGCUGGUCGUGCCUUCGGUAUGCACUGGUGUCACUGGUUCCUCCCUUCUGAAGAACUGUCAUGCCAUCCAGUUGGUGUGGCGGGAAAUCAGGACUGUUACUUUGAAAAAAUUAGAGUGUUUAAAGCAGGCUCGCGCUUGAAUACAUUAGCAUGGAAUAAUGAAAUAGGACGUUUGAUCCUAUUUUGUUGGCUUCUAGGAUCGACGUAAUGAUUAAUAGGGAUAGUUGGGGGCAUUAGUAUUCAAUUGUCAGAGGUGAAAUUCUUGGAUUUAUUGAAGACUAACUACUGCGAAAGCAUUUGCCAAGGAUGUUUUCAUUAAUCAAGAACGAAAGUUAGGGGAUCGAAGACGAUCAGAUACCGUCGUAGUCUUAACCAUAAACUAUGCCGACUAGGGAUCGGAUGAUGUUAUUUUUAAUGACUCAUUCGGCGCCUUACGGGAAACCAAAGUGUUUGGGUUC